rnacentral:rRNA from 1 species
AUGCCCCAACCCCCCCUUUGUUUCUCCGGUUGGUUGGCGAAUUCAUUGCAUGCCCCCGCGAGACCGUGUGCUGCCAAUUCCUUGUAUAUGUACCCACGCCAUGCCAUGCCAUGGGCGCCGCAUACCACCAACGCGCUUUGCACCUCCCAACCGGCCUCCCUCCUCGUCCUCUUCUUCCUCGGCCUCAUCUCUUUAUGCCUCUCUUUCCCACACUGCCUCCAUGAAGGGAAAGUAAGCCGGCGUCUUCCUCAUUCUCUCCGGCCACUCUCUUCCCCCAUCUCCUUCGCGCCGCCGGCGCGCGUGAAACGAACAAAUCGGUGCUUUCCCUCCUGGUCGAUCGUCGUCAACCAUGCUUUUUUGUGCGUCAAUUCUUGGGUAAAUCCUGCGAACCUGUGA